UUGAAAAUAUUUUCUUACAUGAUGGGAAAGAAGGGGAAAUUGGCAGUGCUGGUCACGAUGGUUUUGACUGUGACUAUUAUCAUUAUUAUCAUUGUUUUCUACCUUUACCAAUUCACUGUUAUUCAAAUUGUGUUGUGGGUACCAUCCCAUUGAGUUCUUGAUGGUCACAUGGGUAUUGAAGUGUGAAAAGUUUGUUGAUGGCUUUGUCUUCAUGCUAUAUCGAAGAAGGCAUCAAAGCUGCAUCAAUUGGCUGAGAUUGUUCUCAAUGGGGAACCAGUCAAGACUUGCUGCAAAGGACGGAUUCAUCUCAGGGUCGACGUUGCUGGCUGGACAGAAGUUGCGAAUUCUACCUUCAAAGGAUGAGCAAUGAGCAAAUCCCAAGAGCCACUAGGUCGUCCAAGGAUAAUCCCCUUUGGGAGAAGCUUUGUUGCAGCUGAGAAAUGUUGAACCUUGGAGAUGGCAAUUGUAUUGUUUCACUAGCCUUUGAUAUCCUUCCAUCCUUUCUCCCUUUGGGAACAUCCCAUGUUGGGCCUCCAGACUCUAGAGCCACAAUAUCAGCGCAAGAGACAACACCGGGGCAAUAGGAUUCCAGUUCUUUCUUUGCGUUGUCGAUCACGAAAAACGAGUGCAAAGAUAAAUUAGGAGGCCCAUCUUUCUCAGCUUUGUUGUUACCUACUGAAUUCAGCAGUACAGAUGCAUCACAGCCCUUCACCCAAGCAAACAAAACCAGUCAUGAAAGUGCAUCCGGAGGAGUCCCGCAGGGACAGUCUUGUCUUUGUAAGCUGCACUCCUGACAGCUUUAUUAACGAUGAAGUCAACACCUGGACAUGUCUUCUCGUAGUAGUCUAAGCU